AAAGAAAAGUUACUAAGAGCGUAUGGCGGAUGCCUUGGCUCUCAGAGGCGAUGAAGGACGUGACUAGCUGCGAUAAGCUUCGGGGAAGUGCUAAAUAACUAUUAUAUCCGAAGAUUUCCGAAUGGGGCAACCCAAUACUGUGAAGCAGUAUUAUCAGUCUUUUGACUGAAGCAAACCCGGUGAACUGAAACAUCUAAGUAACCGGAGGAAAAGAAAACAAAUGUGAUUCCCUGAGUAGAGGCGAUCGAAACGGGAACAGCCCAAACCGAUAUUGUUUAGGCAAUAGCGGUGUUGUAGGACCUUGAUGUGAAGAAAAUAUUUGAAGUGGAACCGUUUUGGAAAGUUCGACCAUAGAAGGUGACAGUCCUGUACACGUAAAAAUAUUAAUUCUAAAGGUAUCCUGAGUAGCACGGAACUCGAGAAAUUCUGUGUGAAUCUGCCGGGACCAUCCGGUAAGGCUAAAUACUACUGAGAGACCGAUAGUGAACCAGUACCGUGAGGGAAAGGUGAAAAGAACUUCUGAAGAAGAGUGAAAUAGUACCUGAAACCAUACGCUUACAAGCGGUCGGAGUUCGUCAGCUGACGAAUGACGGCGUGCCUUUUGCAUAAUGAGCCUACGAGUUACUCCUCCCCGGCAAGGUUAAUGAAUUUAGUUCAGAAGCCGAAGCGAAAGCGAGUCUUAACAGGGCGCUUAGUCGGUGGGGGUAGACGCGAAACCCGGUGAUCUACUCAUGGCCAGGUUGAAGUAUCGGUAAAACGGUAUGGAGGACCGAACCAGUACACGUUGAAAAGUGUUUGGAUGAGCUGUGAGUAGGGGUGAAAGGCCAAUCAAACCGGGAGAUAUCUCGUACUCCCCGAAAUGCAUUUAGGUGCAGCCUCGAGGUUGAGUCUUACAGAGGUAGAGCUACUGAUAGGGCUAGAGGGCUUCACCGCCUAUCAAACCCUGACAAACUCCGAAUGCUGUAAGAUAUACUCGGGAGUGAGGGCAUGGGUGCUAAGGUCCAUGUCCGAGAGGGAAACAACCCGGACCAUCAGCUAAGGUCCCUAAAUAUAUGCUAAGUUGUUCUAACGAGGUUUGACUGCUAUAACAGCUAGGAUGUUGGCUUGGAAGCAGCCAUUCAUUUAAAGAGUGCGUAACAGCUCACUAGUCGAGCGGUCGAGCAUGGAUGAUAAUCGGGCAUAAGCAUAUUACCGAAGCUGUGGAUUUAUUCGUUUAUUCGAAUAAGUGGUAGGGGAGCAUUCAUGUUGCAUAGAAGCUGUGUGGUAAUGCAUGGUGGAGCGACAUGAAAAGAAAAUGUAGGCAUAAGUAACGAUAAUGCGGGCGAGAAACCCGCACGCCAAUAGACUAAGGUUUCCUGAUCAACGCUAAUCGGAUCGGGGUUAGUCGGGUCCUAAGGCAAACCCGAAAGGGGCAGUCGAUGGACAACAGGUUAAUAUUCCUGUACCGGCAAUUACUGCGACGGGGUGACGAAAUUGUGACAGGUCUGCGUACUGACUGAAUAGUACGUUAAAGGGUGUAGAUAUACGAACGGUAGGCAAAUCCGCCGAUCGUGUCGAACCUGAUAGUACCGUGAGUCUUCGGACAAGCGGAUAUGACCGUAACCAUAUUUCCAAGAAAAACCUCUAAGCUUCAGGUAAUUGCCGCCCGUACCGCAAACCGACACAGGUAGUCAAGUAGAGAAUACUGAGGCGCUCGAGUGAUUCAUGGCUAAGGAACUAGGCAAAAUAGCCCUGUAACUUCGGGAGAAAGGGCGCUCCACUUUUGUGGAGCCGCAGUGAAAAGAUUCUGGCGACUGUUUAUCAAAAACACAUGGCUUUGCUAAAUUGAAAGAUGAUGUAUAAGGCCUGACACCUGCCCAGUGCCGGAAGGUUAAGAGGGGGCGUUAUCUUCGGAGAAGCGCUGAAUUGAAGCCCCGGUAAACGGCGGCCGUAACUAUAACGGUCCUAAGGUAGCGAAAUUCCUUGUCGGGUAAGUUCCGACCUGCACGAAUGGUGCAACGAUCUGGGCACUGUCUCGGCCAU
rnacentral:rRNA from 1 species